GACGAACGCUGGCGGCGUGCUUAACACAUGCAAGUCGAACGGAAGGCCCUGCUUUUGUGGGGUGCUCGGGUGGCGAACGGGUGAAUAACACGUUAAUCACCUGCCCUUGACUUUGGGAUAACUUCAGGCAACUGGGGCUACUACCGGGUAAGACCUCCUGCUUCGUGGGGGGGGGUGGGAAUUUUCGGCGGUUGGGGAUGGACUCGCGGCUUAUCAGCUUGUUGGUGGGGUAGUGGCUUACCAAGGCUUUGACGGGUAGCCGGCCUGGGAGGGUGACCGGCCACAUUGGGACUGAGAUACGGCCCGGACUCCUACGGGAGGCAGCAGUGGGGAAUAUUGCACAAUGGGCGGAAGCCUGAUGCAGCAACGCCGCAUGCGGGAUGACGGCCUUCGGGUUGUAAACGGCUUUCGCCUGUGACGAAGCGUGAGUGACGGUAAUGGGUAAAGAAGCACCGGCUAACUACGUG
rnacentral:rRNA from 1 species